rnacentral:rRNA from 1 species
UUCUGAUCCUGGCUCAGACUCAGUCGUAACAAGGUAGCCGUAGAGUUUGAUCCUGGUGUCAUACUGUCUGGGAAACUGCGUGAUGGAAGAGGAUAACUACUGGAAACGGUAGCUAAUACCGCAUAAUGUCGCAAGACCAAAGUGGGGGACCUUCGGGCCUCAUGCCAUCAGAUGUGCCCAGAUGGGAUUAGCUAGUAGGUGGGGUAACGGCUCACCUAGGCGACGAUCCCUAGCUGGUCUGAGAGGAUGACCAGCCACACUGGAACUGAGACACGGUCCAGACUCCUACGGGAGGCAGCAGUGGGGAAUAUUGCACAAUGGGCGCAAGCCUGAUGCAGCCAUGCCGCGUGUGUGAAGAAGGCCUUCGGGUUGUAAAGCACUUUCAGCGGGGAGGAAGGCGAUAAGGUUAAUAACCUUGGCGAUUGACGUUACCCGCAGAAGAAGCACCGGCUAACUCCGUGCCAGCAGCCGCGGUAAUACGGAGGGUGCAAGCGUUAAUCGGAAUUACUGGGCGUAAAGCGCACGCAGGCGGUCUGUCAAGUCGGAUGUGAAAUCCCCGGGCUCAACCUGGGAACUGCAUUCGAAACUGGCAGGCUAGAGUCUUGUAGAGGGGGGUAGAAUUCCAGGUGUAGCGGUGAAAUGCGUAGAGAUCUGGAGGAAUACCGGUGGCGAAGGCGGCCCCCUGGACAAAGACUGACGCUCAGGUGCGAAAGCGUGGGGAGCAAACAGGAUUAGAUACCCUGGUAGUCCACGCCGUAAACGAUGUCGAUUUGGAGGUUGUGCCCUUGAGGCGUGGCUUCCGGAGCUAACGCGUUAAAUCGACCGCCUGGGGAGUACGGCCGCAAGGUUAAAACUCAAAUGAAUUGACGGGGGCCCGCACAAGCGGUGGAGCAUGUGGUUUAAUUCGAUGCAACGCGAAGAACCUUACCUGGUCUUGACUUCACAGAACUUUCCGAAAUGGAUUGGUGCCUUCGGAACUGUGAAACAGUGCUGCUGGCUGCCCCAACUCCGGUUUGAAAUGUUGGUUAAUUC